rnacentral:lncRNA from 1 species
UGGGAACAGAGGCCAAAUGCAGUUUAUCUGGCACUGAGGGAGAGAAAAUCAGAGAUCAGCAGACGAAACAAAGCAACAGAUGUGUAAAAGAAGGGGAACGCAUCAGACUUGGCCUCCAAUGCCCUGAGCUCUCCUCUUACUGAGGACUGAUGAAGUACCUUGGUGCUGGUCGUGCAGCCGAGCGUGAUGAGGAGCUGGAAGGAGCCAGCUGGCAGGACGUUAAUGGAGCACUGGUUUGUGCUCUGAAGACAGCUCUGAAGAGGCCAGAGGAACAUGGCACCAGAUCAAACCAGGGAUCCGUCUACUCGAGGAUCCCUCCUCUCACAGUACCCAGGGUGGUGGCCAUCCUUGUGCAUGAUCCUGGAGGUUGGUUUGACCUCCAAGCUCUCCUCUCCUCUUGGGUGCUGGCAGCUGAGCUUGCUGUGACAGCAGAUGCAGAGGCAGUGGUUAGUGCUGCAGCCAGGCUCGGCUUUCCUUGUCUAAAGAUGUUGCUGUAGCAGUGGUGUUGGGCCGAGGGAGAGAAAGAGCCCUGAGGAAGCAGAGGAGAGAGCAGGUAUGUGCCCCUUCCCCACAGCCUCCUCCCACUGCGAAGGUGUUUAUCCUAUUGACAAGCACUGUGGUCCUUUCAUAACUGCUGCAUUAGCAGAGGAUCAAGUAGCACUUAAUGGGAGCAGUCUGCCUCCUGAAGUGUGAUUGAAAAGGUCACCAAGGUGGAUGGAGGAAAAUAUUUGCAGCAGGCUGACAUAAGCCUUGGCUUCUGAUUGACAACAGGUGGACGUUUUAAGCGCUGCCCUCCCCGUCCAGCAUUUCGGCUGCCCUCCCCUCCUUCCACAACACUGGCUGAAUGUUUUGCAGCGGCGCCACGGAGCAUCUGCCGAGCUUGGUGGGAGGCACAUGGGGAAACGCAGCCCAGCCACAGAAUUCAGGGAAGAGGUGAUUUGAGGCCAAGUGUUGCUUUCUGAACUGGCAAAAUCAAGGAAAUCAGGCAAACUGUAAACAAAGCUUUCUCGUGAAACUGCCCCAAGCUGAAUUGUUCGGUUGAACAUGAUGGGGCUCUUCUAUUUUAUGGCACAAAAUACAUAGUUGAUUUUUU